rnacentral:rRNA from 1 species
GACGAACGCUGGCGGCGUGCCUAAUACAUGCAAGUCGAACGCAGUGGGGACGGGUGAGUAACACGUGGGUAACCUCCCAUCAGAGGGGAUAACACUUGGAAACAGGUGCUAAACCGAUACUGAUGGAUGGACCCGCGGUGCAUUAGGUAGUUGGUGAGGUAACGGCUCACCAAGGCCACGAUGCAUAGCGGACCUGAGAUGGUGAUCGGGACAACUGGGCCUGAUACACGGCCCAGACGCCUACGGGAGUCAGCAGUAGGGAAUGUUGGGCAAUGGACGAAAGUCUGACCUAGCAACGCCGCGUGAGUGAAGAAGGUUUGCGGAUCGUAAAACUCUGUUGUUAGAGAAGCGGUAUCUAACCAGAAAGCCACGGCUAACUACGGGCCAGCAGCCGCGGUAAUUC